rnacentral:rRNA from 1 species
GACGGAGGAUGCGAAGUGUUAUCCGGAAUCACUGGGCGUAAAGCGUCUGUAGGUGGUUUAAAAAGUCCACUGUUAAAAAUUGAGCUUAACUUCAAAAGAUGCCGUGGAAACUUUUAAACUUGAGUAUGGUAGGGGUAGAGGAAUUUCCAGUGGAGCGGUGAAAUGCGUAGAUAUUGGAAAAGACCACCAAUGGCGAAGGCACUCUACUGGGCCAUUACUGACACUGAGAGACGAAAGCUAGGGGAGCAAAAUGGG